UGGCUCUGGCAUCGAUGAAGAACGCAGCGAAAUGCGAUAAGUAAUGUGAAUUGCAGAAUUCAGUGAACCAUCGAAUCUUUGAACGCACAUUGCGCCCGCCAGUACUCUGGCGGGCAUGCCUGUUCGAGCGUCAUUACAACCCUCAAGCCCCCGGGCUUGGCGUUGGGGAUCGGCACAAGGCGGAGGAGCACCCCUAGGGGAGCCCCCCCGGCCCGCCGUCCCCCAAAUUCAGUGGCGGUCACGUCGCGGCCUCCUAUGCGUAGUAGCAACACCUCGCACUGGAAGCCCCUCGCGUCCACGCCGUAAAACCCCCGACUUUUUAUCAAGUUGACCUCGAAUCAGGUAGGACUACCCGCUGA
rnacentral:misc_RNA from 1 species